rnacentral:rRNA from 1 species
UACGUAGGGGGCAAGCGUUGUCCGGAUUCAUUGGGCGUAAAGAGCUCGUAGGCGGCUUGGCAAGUCGGGUGUGAAAACUCCAGGCUCAGCCUGGAGACGCCACCCGAUACUGCCAUGGCUUGAGUCCGGUAGGGGACCACGGAAUUCCUGGUGUAGCGGUGAAAUGCGCAGAUAUCAGGAGGAACACCAAUGGCGAAGGCAGCUCGCUGGGACGUGACUGACGCUGAGACGCGAAAGCGUGGGGAGCAAACAGG